rnacentral:rRNA from 1 species
UACGGAGGGUGCAAGCGUUAUCCGGAUUUACUGGGUUUAAAGGGUGCGUAGGCGGCUUUGCAAGUCGGGUGUGAAAUCCCCAGGCUUAACCUGGGAACUGCAUUCGAGACUGCAUUGCUAGAGUAUGGGAGAGGGAAGUGGAAUUUCCGGUGUAGCGGUGAAAUGCGUAGAUAUCGGAAGGAACAUCAGUGGCGAAAGCGACUUCCUGGACCAAUACUGACGCUCAUGUGCGAAAGCGUGGGGAGCAAACAGG